CCGACAUAUUUAUAUUAUACUACACUACUAUAUUUACUACUAUAUUUAUUUUUACACGCAACACAAAAGUGUACUUUAUCCUCAGCGGUCGGUGACGAACUAAACAUUGGCCGAAUGUGUAAACACCACACGCCAAGCUGGGCCAAGAUUCCUUUGAUGUGUGCCCAAAAAACCGACAACUCGCCGAAUGCGCGCCAACCUUGACAAAUGUCCGCCAACCUGCACCAAUACCCCGUGUACACAUUGGUGAUGGCGUGUAUUGGCCGCACUUGGGCCAACGUGUACUGGGGCCUUAAAGUAUAAUUGAGAAACGUAAACGUAUUUUGAAGAUAACAAUAUUCUUCUUCUUUGUCGUUAUCACUCUUGACAGAGUGGUCGUGGUCAUCACUUCAGGUGUUGGUGGCAAGCUAAACAACCCGCCUUUACAAGAUAACAAUAUACCUACACACUAUAGCAGGCGUGUCGUCAAUCUCGUUGACGAUCUCAGUGGGUUGAAAGGCGGGUGCGGCGGGUUCGUCGUCGUCACUGUCGUUAGCGCCCGGGUGAGCAUGCUGCGCCGGCGGCGCGUGCGCAGGCCUCGACGCGCGAGCCGUG